AUGGUUUUGGGGGACUUUAACAUGAUUCUUCGGGCGGAGGACAAAAGCAACAAUAACAUUAACAGACGCAUCAUGAGGAGAUUUAAGGAGUUUGUGGACAAUAACGAACUUAAGGAGGUUUACAUGCAUGGCAGGAGAUUCACAUGGACUAAUGAAAGGGAUCAUCCGGUGAUGACUAAGAUCGAUCGUGUGUUGGUGACUGUGGACUGGGAGCUUGCUCACCCUGAUGUCCUCCUCCAAGCUCUGUCUACUAACAUAUCGGACCACGCCCCGCUCCACUUG
rnacentral:rRNA from 1 species